rnacentral:piRNA from 1 species
UGCUUUAACAGAGGACCAGCUGCCC